CAGCAGCCGCGGGAAUACAGAGGGUGCGAGCGUUAAUCGGAUUUACUGGGCGUAAAGCGUGCGUAGGCGGCUUUUUAAGUCGGAUGUGAAAUCACUGAGCUUAACUUAGGAAUUGCAUUCGAUACUGGGAAGCUAGAGUAUGGGAGAGGAUGGUAGAAUUCCAGGUGUAGCGGUGAAAUGCGUAGAGAUCUGGAGGAAUACCGAUGGCGAAGGCAGCCAUCUGGCCUAAUACUGACGCUGAGGUUCGAAAGCAUGGGGAGCAAACAGGAUUAGAUACCCGUGUAGUCCCUGUCUCUUAUAC
rnacentral:rRNA from 1 species